rnacentral:lncRNA from 1 species
UAAGUCAAGUAGUUUCAUGCAUCUAAAUUAGUUGCAUAGAACUCCUUGUUUGAAAUUAGUUAUAUAUACAUCUCAAAUCAAUUUAAGGGCAACACCUAUUAUAAGAUAAGGUGAGAAUUUCAUCAUCCUUUCUUAGCCCAAAAACAACCAACCAGCAUCCCACAUAAAUCCAAACCUAAUUAAAAUUAAGUAGACGUUGGUCCCUAGGAUCAAUUGAGUUCAGUUUGAGUAUUGUGGUGAAGUCAAUUGCAAAGUAAGUUUGAACUCAUCCCUGAAAUUGGUGUCUAAGGCA